rnacentral:rRNA from 1 species
UACAGAGGUCCCAAGCGUUGUUCGGAUUCACUGGGCGUAAAGGGUGCGCAGGUGGUCGGGUAAGUCUGACGUGAAAUCCCGCAGCUUAACUGCGGAAUGGCAUUGGAUACUAUUCGGCUAGAGGGUUGGAGGGGGGACUGGAAUUCUCGGUGUAGCAGUGAAAUGCGUAGAUAUCGAGAGGAACACCAGUGGCGAAGGCGACUUCCUGGCCUGUUCUUGACGCUGAGGCGCGAAAGCUAGGGGAGCAAACGGG